AGGUGGAAAUGAUGAUAUUUCUA
rnacentral:siRNA from 1 species